rfam:Gossypium hirsutum cultivar TM-1 chromosome 1, whole genome shotgun sequence
AACCCAUGGUGAGGGCACUUUCUCAAAAGGUCCUUGUAUCUCUCGCAUGCGUCGUAGAGCGUUUCUAAAUCCAUCUGUACAAAAGAAGAGAUAUCAUUACGUAAAGCU